GCUUUUGAAGCGUGGCUGAUUUGUCUUCCUAUAGGCACUCUAAAAAAGCGUAGCGACAUAAUUUUCACCAAUUUUUUAUUCACACUUCAAUUUUUUCCCAAUUAAACACUUCAACCCUAAAGAAGUGACAAUCUUUUCACUGCUCAAGCCUCGGACACUAGCUGCCAGCCCCUUCAUCUUCAUCACUACCAUGUCCCAAUUCAUCACUGCUAAUGAGAACCCAUGCACGCCCUUCAUCUUCAUCACCGCCGAGAACCAUCACACCCAGCCCUCUCUCGUAGCCCUCUAUCGCACCCUCUCUCGCACCCAAACGGCAAGCCUCCUCCUCGGAUUCCCAACCCUCGCACCCUCUCUUGCAAACUUCUAUCGGCGCUUCUCCGUCGGCGCAGCCUGCCUCGGCGUGCACCCUCAGUGAUCUCUCUCUCUCUCGCAAACCCUAAACACUAAAGACGCUGCCUCUCUCUCGCUCCUCCCUCAAUCAUCGCUUCCUCUCCCCCAAUCGGCGCUUCCUCUCCCUCAAUCGACGCUCAACCCUCACCAUCUCCAUCGUUCAUCGUUCAUCGUUCAUCACCCAUGCCUUCGAACCCUAAAUCUAAAAUCACCCUCCCCUCACUGGAACCCUAACUCCCUAAGUCUCUUCUCUCGCUCUCUUCUGUCCCUCGCACACGCCAGAACCGCCGUCGCACAGAAUCCCCUUCGCACACGCCAUCGCAGACUCGCACGUCUCGCGGUCUCGGUCCAAGGCGUGUUCUCCUCGUCGUGUCGUCUCCAUCCCGUGAAUGUCUGCGUCCUACUCUCCCGUCCUGUGAGCGUCGCUGUCCUCCGCGUCCCGUGAACGUUGCUGUCCUCCCCGUCCUGAACGCCGCCGUCGUUCUUCCUGAUUCCUGUCGCUCAUCCCUCGCGCCGUUGGCUUCGGUGGCGCCAUUUUGCUGUGCGUAGCUUUGGCCAACUUCAUCUCCGACCGCCGUUGGACGAAGAAGAAACCGAUUAUGAAGAAAAGCAGAGGAGUGGUUGCUCUUCAAAUUAUCCAAGAGAAAUACUAAAUGGGGGUUUCUUGAGGGUGUGAGUAUGUCUGAUGCACCGCCACCUAGAACGGUCUUGGUGCAGCAGUGUAUCCGUGAUAGAGGUGUAUUGGAAGUUCUAUGCAACUAUGAUGCUAUCAGUCUACUAAAAUUAAGGAGUGAAAGAACUAGAAAUGGUGGCAACGUAUGAAGAAGCGAGAGAUUAUAUGGCACAAGUGCAAGAAGCAUUUCAAGAUAAGAAAGAAGACUAUCAUUGCUUUAUGCAACUUCUCCAACUUCUCGAAGAUCAUUUCUUCUUGUGUGUUUUGUGUUUUGUGUGUGUGUGCAACUGUUCUUUUCCUUUUACUAAAUUACUAAUCAUGCAGUAAUGUUUGUUGCCACUUUGCUUUCUUAAUUAGUUAAUUGUUUCCUUGCCUCUUUUAUUAGAUAAUGGUUACUGUCAGUUGGCAGUUUAUAAACUAGCUUCUCUACCGUAGGUAGAUGGUGGAUGAAAAUCUGAGUGUGUACUCAAGACAUAUUCUGAACUUUCACCAUGUGAAUGACAGUUCAAAACUCAUUUAAAAAUUCAAACCAGAUUUAUUUGUUACUUACCCUUCUGUCUGUUUGCUUGUCCUUCUUUCUUUGCAAAGGUUUGGUCUGAAUUUAGUUCUUCAUGUGUCUGAUAAUCCUGUAUUUGAUUCUUCCAUACAGAUAUUUUCUGAGAAAAGAGGACAAUGGAAGGCUGCAACUCAAUCACGGGAGUAUAUUCGAUCCUUUCAGCGUUAUUAUAGCAACACGUACUUGGAUGGCAAUAAACAAAAAGCAAUUAACUUGUAAGAAACAGGGUCAUUUGUUGUCAUUAACCCAUUUGGAAAUUCU